rnacentral:rRNA from 1 species
UACGUAGGGUCCGAGCGUUGUCCGGAGUUACUGGGCGUAAAGGGCGCGCAGGCGGCGGUGCUGGCCCGGCGUGAAAGCCCCCGGCUCAACCGGGGAGGGUCGUCGGGGACCGCACCGCUUGAGGGCGGUAGGGGCUGGUGGAAUGCCUGGUGUAGUGGUGAAAUGCGUAGAGAUCAGGCGGAACACCCGUGGCGAAGGCGGCCAGCUGGGCCGACCCUGACGCUGAGGCGCGAGAGCGUGGGGAGCAAACCGG